UUUGAGUUUAUAAUCUCCAUCUGUUCUGUCAGCAUUUGCCUGUAAAGCCAGCUCCUACAGUUUCUCCUUCUCUGGUGCAGUUUGUGCAGUCCUCUGAUUUCACACGUUUCCAUGAUCUUGACAGCUCAGAGACACCUGUGGCCAGCAGCUCUUCCAUUCAUCACCAGCCUGCAGACACUCCUCCACAAUACAGUGAAUCCAAAUAAAUAUGAAUAAGUGGGCUGUUA